UACGGAGGGUGCAAGCGUUAUCCGGAUUCACUGGGUUUAAAGGGUGCGUAGGUGGGUUGAUAAGUCAGUGGUGAAAUCUCCGGGCUUAACCCGGAAACUGCCAUUGAUACUAUUUGUCUUGAAUACUGUGGAGGUCAGCGGAAUAUGUCAUGUAGCGGUGAAAUGCUUAGAUAUGACAUAGAACACCAAUUGCGAAGGCAGCUGGCUACACAAAUAUUGACACUGAGGCACGAAAGCGUGGGGAUCAAACAGG
rnacentral:rRNA from 1 species